GCGAGCUCUCAAGACUCUCUACAACCCUGUGAACCGACUAUACGAACCGUUGCUUCGGCGGUGCCCCGGGAUUCGUUCCCGCCGUCAGCCCGCCGGCAGAACGACAAAUUCUGUUAUUCUUGUUUCUUGGCAUCUCUAUACAAUAAGUUA
rnacentral:misc_RNA from 1 species